UCACAUAAAAAAUGUAAUACCUCCAACUAGCUUGCACAACUAACCUUACAACUGAAGCUAAGGUAAGUAUAAUCCCAUCAUGUGACCUUCUCACUUGUUGAAAAUCCUAUAAAGAACUAUAGAUAGUGGGGUUAGAAUCUAUCCACCACAAUUGGUGAAAUCCACUACUAUUUAUUUAACAAUGAGAAUAUGAUGUGUACUUGCCUAUCCUUAGGCACUCUGAACUUUCC
rnacentral:lncRNA from 1 species